GCACUCUACGAUACAUACGUACGUAAGCCACCGCCGCCGCCACUCGUCAUCUCCCGCUCCUGCCGCUGGUUGGCCGGUGAUGGUCGUCGGCGCCAUCCCCCUCCACGUGACGACGGCUACGGUCUCCUUCCCCUUACGGCGGACAACAGGGGCACCUCCCGGCCGGAUCCUCGUCGUGGGCGUGAGGGCAAACUGGAUUUGCCGACCUGACAACCAAAUCGAGGCGGGGCUCCGUCCUCCAGGCGAGCGGCGGUGCGGCUGUGCGCUCCCCUUCUUGAUCCGUGAGGGCAGGGUGAUAAACGAACUGGUAGUAAUGACAGUGGUUCAACAUCGGCGGGACAAUCUCCACGACUUAAAUCUUUCUCUUGUAGAUCUCUUCUGACUAAUGAUGUGGAAAGUGGACUAAGAAGACCCCUGAACCCCUAGGGCUCACGUUGCAGACAGAUUAUUUUGCAAACCAAAGUGGACUAACCACAGUUUGUUGGAAGAGGGAUGCUGGUUCCUCAGAUAAGAACUAGAUGUUUAUUUCUUGGUUUAGGGAUUCCUGUUCAGAUAACUAGAGCUUUAUUAAUUUCCCUUUUUCUCUUAUAAAUGAAUUGAUGAGUUUUAUUUGUGAAUAUGUCUAGAUGAGUUCCUGUUCAAAAUUCAGAUAUGCGACUUGUUUUCAUUCAGUGAUUUAAAUGUUCAGAUGUGCAUGCUUCCUACUGGCUGAUAUGCAUUCAUUUCAUCCAAGAGAUUCUGAUCUGAUUUGUCAAUCCAAAUUUACUACUAGGUGCAGGCUUGGUUUGAUCACCUGAUGACAGGAUGGGUCCUACUGCCGAGCCCAUUCUUACUGACAAGCUGUAGGCGGCGAGCAGAAGGCCAACAUUGUGACGUGAAUUCCCCAACCUCUGCUGGCUCCAACCCAAACAACAACCUUUGGAGCAUCCUUUGUGCAGGUGUUGAGCGCUGGGACCAUCUUAUAACCCUAGAUGAGCAAUGGACCUCUCCAAUCUUUUUAUUUGUUUUUUAUUCGUAAGGGGUGGGAUUUUUUUGUGUGUGGCAUUCUGACCUUGCAACAGUGAUAACUCUAUGAUGCAUGGUCAAAUGCUUAUCAUUCCUCAGGGAAGUCUAUCUAGUAUUCCAGUGCAGCGAUUGCAUGUACAAGACCUACUGGCUCUGUCCACUCCUUGUAAUGAU